rnacentral:rRNA from 1 species
UACGUAGGGAGCAAGCGUUGUCCGGAAUCAUUGGGCGUAAAGCGCGCGUAGGUGGCCCUGUAAGUCCGUUGUGAAAGUCAAAGGCUCAACCUUUGAAGGCCGAUGGAUACUGCAGGGCUAGAGUACGGAAGAGGCGAGUGGAAUUCCUGGUGUAGCGGUGGAAUGCGCAGAUAUCAGGAGGAACACCAAUAGCGAAGGCAGCUCGCUGGGACGUUACUGACACUGAGGCGCGAAAGCGUGGGGAGCGAACAGG